CGCACAUUGCGCCCUUUGGCAUUCCGAAGGGCAUGCCUGUUCGAGCGUCAUUAUCCUCCCUCAAACCGCCUCUGUGGUUUGGUGUUGGACCGCGUUGGACCGUUCGCGGCCAACUGGUCUCAAAGACAAUGACGGCGUCCGUGGGACCCUCUUCGCACUGAGCUUUCCGGAGCACGCGUUGAGUUGCAAGGUCCCGGGGACCCGGCCUCCAAAAUUUAAUUAUUUUUCUAAGGUUGACCUCGGAUCAGGUAGGAAUACCCGCUGAACUUAA
rnacentral:misc_RNA from 1 species